rnacentral:tRNA from 1 species
GCUGUAAUAAUUGAUAAUUCGAGUGCUUUGUAAGCAUCAGGUGGCGGGUUCGAGUCCUGCAGCCGGCACCA